GGUGGUUUUCCCGAGCGGCCAAAGGGAGCAGACUGUAAAUCUGCCGUCAUCGACUUCGAAGGUUCGAAUCCUUCCCCCACCACCA
rnacentral:tRNA from 1 species